rnacentral:tRNA from 1 species
GGGGUUGUGACUCAGUGGUAGAGUGCUUAUCUCACAUGUGUGAGACACUUGAGUUCAAUCCUCAACACCA